rnacentral:rRNA from 1 species
CGUGAGUAACCUGCCUUGGAGUGGGGAAUAACAGCUGGAAACAGCUGCUAAUACCGCAUAAUAUGUCUGAAUCGCAUGGUUCUGGACAUCAAAGAUUUAUCGCUCUGAGAUGGACUCGCGUCUGAUUAGCUGGUUGGCGGGGUAACGGCCCACCAAGGCGACGAUCAGUAGCCGGACUGAGAGGUUGGCCGGCCACAUUGGGACUGAGACACGGCCCAGACUCCUACGGAAGGCAGCAG